AAUCAACGCUGGCGGCGUGCCUAACACAUGCAAGUCGAACGAGAAAGUGGAGCAAUCCAUGAGUAAAGUGGCGCACGGGUGAGUAACACGUGACUAACCUACCCUUGAGUGGGGGAUAACCUAGGGAAACCUGGGCUAAUACCGCAUAAUACCUACGGGUCAAAGGAGCAAUUCGCUUUGGGAGGGGGUCGCGGCCGAUUAGUUAGUUGGCAGGGUAAUGGCCUACCAAGACGAUGAUCGGUANCCGGCCUGAGAGGGCGCACGGACACACUGGAACUGAAACACGGUCCAGACUCCUACGGGAGGCAGCAGUGGGGAAUUUUGUCGCAAUGGGGGAAACCCUGACGCAGCAACGCCGCGUGGAGGAUGAAGUCCUUGGGACGUAACUCCUUUCGAUCGGGACGAUAAUGACGGUACCGGAAGAAGAAGCCCCCGGCUAACUUCGUGCC
rnacentral:rRNA from 1 species